UGGGGAAUAUUGGACAAUGGGCGAAAGCCUGAUCCAGCCAUGCCGCGUGUGAGAAGAAGGUCUUCGGAUUGUAAAGCACUUUAAGUUGGGAGGAAGGGCAGUAAGCGAAUACCUUGCUGUUUUGACGUUACCGACAGAAUAAGCACCGGCUAACUCUGUGCCAGCAGCCGCGGUAAUACAGAGGGUGCAAGCGUUAAUCGGAAUUACUGGGCGUAAAGCGCGCGUAGGUGGUUCGUUAAGUUGAAUGUGAAAGCCCCGGGCUCAACCUGGGAACUGCAUCCAAAACUGGCGAGCUAGAGUAGGGCAGAGGGUGGUGGAAUUUCCUGUGUAGCGGUGAAAUGCGUAGAUAUAGGAAGGAACACCAGUGGCGAAGGCGACCACCUGGGCUCAUACUGACACUGAGGUGCGAAAGCGUGGGGAGCAAACAGG
rnacentral:rRNA from 1 species